rnacentral:rRNA from 1 species
AAUUAAUUAGACGACAAGACCCUUUUGAACUUUACUAUUGUUUAGCUGGGGUAGCUAUAAAAUAUUAAUCUUCUUAAUUUUAUUUAUAUAAAUGACCCAAUUCAAUUGAUUAUUUGAACAAGUUACCAUAGGGAUAACAGCGUAAUAUUUUUUAAAAGUUCUUAUUUAAAAAAAUGAUUGCGACCUCGAUGUUGAAUUAAUGUAACUUUAUUGAUGAAGUAAUCAUAAAAGUUGGUCUGUUCGACCAUUAAAACAUUACGUGAUCUG